GUCGACAUAUCUUAUUCCUUUGUUGCAGGACAAGAACUUGGAACUUGCUGAGCUGGGGAUGGCGGGAGUAAAAGAGUUGUAACCUUCCCUUCUGCUCCCCAAACAAUGUGAGAGAAGAAACCAUUAGACGCCACUCUCUCCUGUUAGCCCAACUGCCAGAGCGGAAAAAGUUGUGACGUCACUGGCUUACUCAGCAAGCUAACUGUGGGAGGUGGGAGUAGAAGAGCUGUAACCUCUCCCACUCGAGGAACUACCCUCCUGCUUGACAAAUUACAGGAGCAAAAAAGCCACGUAUCAGAGGAGACUUCAGGAAAAUUAAGCCUGACAGUCUCUCCAAACAACUUUGUGCACAUAUUAAGUAAAGGAGGAGGUACUGCUUACACCUAAAACCUAAUCUCAGAUGAAUUAUGGAGUGAAUAUAACUAGUACUGAG
rnacentral:lncRNA from 1 species